rnacentral:tRNA from 1 species
GCGGGCUUAGUUCAGUGGAAGAACGACAGCCUUCCAAGCUGUAUGUCAUCGGUUCGAUCCCGAUAGCCCGCUCCA